GAUGAACGCUGGCGGCGUGCCUAAUACAUGCCAGUCGAGCGAACAGACGAGGAGCUUGCUCCUCUGACGUUAGCGGCGGACGGGUGAGUAACACGUGGAUAACCUACCUAUAAGACUGGGAUAACUUCGGGAAACCGGAGCUAAUACCGGAUAAUAUAUUGAACCGCAUGGUUCAAUAGUGAAAGACGGUUUUGCUGUCACUUAUAGAUGGAUCCGCGCCGCAUUAGCUAGUUGGUAAGGUAACGGCUUACCAAGGCAACGAUGCGUAGCCGACCUGAGAGGGUGAUCGGCCACACUGGAACUGAGACACGGUCCAGACUCCUACGGGAGGCAGCAGUAGGGAAUCUUCCGCAAUGGGCGAAAGCCUGACGGAGCAACGCCGCGUGAGUGAUGAAGGUCUUCGGAUCGUAAAACUCUGUUAUUAGGGAAGAACAAAUGUGUAAGUAACUAUGCACGUCUUGACGGUACCUAAUCAGAAAACCACGGCUAACUACGUG
rnacentral:rRNA from 1 species